AGCAGCCGCGGUAAUUCCAGCUCCAAUAGCGUAUAUUAAAGUUGUUGCAGUUAAAAAGCUCGUAGUUGAAUUUCGGGGUUAGUAGGUUGGUCAUGCCUCUGGUAUGUACUGGUCUCACUGAUUCCUCCUUCCUGAUGAGCCGUAAUGCCAUUAAUUUGGUGUUGCGGGGAAUUUGGACUGUUACUUUGAAAAAUUAGAGUGUUUAAAGCAAGCUAACGCUUGAAUACAUUAGCAUGGAAUAAUGAAAUAGGACGUUCGAUCCUAUUUUGUUGGUUUCUAGGAUUGACGUAAUGAUUAAUAGGGAUAGUUGGGGGCAUUAGUAUUCAAUUGUCAGAGGUGAAAUUCUUGGAUUUAUUGAAGACUAACUACUGCGAAAGCAUUUGCCAAGGAUGUUUUCAUUAAUCAAGAACGAAAGUUAGGGGAUCGAAGACGAUCAGAUACCGUCGUAGUCUUAACCAUAAACUAUGCCGACUAGGGAUCGGAUGAUGUUAAUUUUUUAAUGUACUCA
rnacentral:rRNA from 1 species